UGCGUCCCCUGCCCCGCCCCCGGAGCGCGGGCUUCGGGAGACGAGGAGCUGUGGGCGGCUGUGGCCGGCGGGGUGUGGCUGGGCGCUGCGGUCCGCGCGGGGCGGGGCGGGUGGCGGGAGCCGUCACAGGAAAUAAGUGACCAUGGUGCUCGAUAGUUUGGAUAAGAUGAUUCAACUGCAGAAAAGCACUGCAGACAUCAGGAAUAUCUGUGUUUUGGCUCAUGUUGACCACGACCUCAAGAAACGCUCAUUCAGAUGAAGACAAAGAUAACACCUGGGAUGCUUGGGGCGACUGGUGUGACUGCCCCGGACUUGCGGGGGAGGAGCAUCCUAGUCUCUGCAGAGAUGUUUGGCUGGCAGCUGACAACAUGAAAUGCUGGCGAGAAUGAAGAGAAACUGGAUCACUCAUACACUGGUGAUGAUAAUGUAAAAUAAUAUAGCCACAGGCAAAAAUAAACAUGCAGCUACCAUACAAUCCGGCAGUUGUACUCGUGGCCUUUUAUCACAGAGAAUGAAGACUUGUUUUCA